UGAGAUUAAAAGCGUUUAGUUGCUGCGAAAACAAGGGAUCCACAUGUAAUUUAGUAAAUAAAAACAAAAAAAAACUGUAGUUAAUCCGUGUGAUAAUUUUAAAAAUGAAGUGACUUAAGUGAAAAAUGUGUUUUAUGGAUGUUAGCAGACUUCUGGGCUGUUUAACAGCUCUGGUUGCUUGUCUCAGUCCUCCCAUCUGGCAACCCUGAACCUAGCUUGCCUCCGUUUAGCGUCUCAUGUUAGCAGUUGUAGUGCAUCACAGCUUCAAGCUUGUACAAAGAUAUAAAAUCAGUACGUUUUGGUACAUGCACAGUGGUGAGACUGAGACUCAGGGACGUAGGUUCAAGCUAACGUGGUGAUUUGAAGGCAACAUGAAUGAGGAAUCUUCCUGUAAAUGCCCCGGCCAAGCUCUCCCCUGGGGAUUUAGAACCAGGUCUGAUCUCUUAUCUGAGUACACCCUGGAAGCACAGCCCUGCCAGUAACGUUACAUCUCGUGAUGGACACCGACCCAAAGAUGACAACAUAAAAUCUCACAGGAAUGGAAGUGACUGUGGUCAAAGUCCUUUGUAUGGAACUAAGACUGAACAUGAAAUAGUUUCAUUACAGUUAAAAACUGAGGAUAAACUGUGGAGCAGUUUCCAGUCUACUUGCUGAAGUUGUCUGGAGUCCCAGUCAACCAGGAGAAGUCAAACUUUUUUUUGAUGAAAAGGACAGUCACACUGCAGCAGAAAGAUCUGAACAACCCAAGGAGACUGAUGACGACAAGAAACAUUUCUGUGAGAUUUGCAAAAAAGAAUUCAGACUUCAAAGUCAU